CCGGCGGGGCCGUGAGGGAUCGGGAGCUGGAGCGGAGGGAGCCGCGGGGCCGUCCGGUAACAAAGGGAGCCACUCGCCGCUGAGGGGCGGGAACGCACGGGUCUGUGGAGAGAUUCACCAGCGCAGCAGCUGCUUACGUGUGGGGGCCAAGCUGCUCGGGGUCUUAAAAAGGAUCGCAGAAUAAUCAAGGCUGGAAGAGACCUUUGAGAUCAUCACGCCUAGCGUCAGCCCAGCACUGCUAGUGCAACCCCUAAACCACUGAACCACAUCACCCAGCGCCAGAUCCAGACUCCUGAACACCUCCAGGACUCCAGUGACUCCACCUGGGCAACCUAUUCCAAUGCCUGACCUCACUAACAGAAAAAAAUUAAUAUUUAAUCUUAAUAAUCUUAAUCUACCUUGUUUCAGUUUGAGGCCAUUUCCUCUGGUCCCCUCACGGCAGGAGAGACCGGCCCCCACCUCACCACAGCCUCCGUUCAGGUGUCGAUAAGACAAGAGGGAACGGCCUCUGCUUGCACCAGGGGAGGAUCAGGCAGGCUAUUAGGAAAAAUUUCAUCAUUGAAAGCAUGGUCAAGCACUGGAACAGGCUGCCCAGGGUAAUGAUGGUGUCACCAUCCUUAGAAGUGUUCAAAAACCGUGUCAAUGUGGUGCCUGGGGACGUCUUUUAAUACCGGACCUGUCGGUGUUAGGUUAAUGGUUGGACUCCCAUGGUCUUGGUGGUACUUUCCACCUUAAUUGAUUCUAUUAUACUAUUCUAACAGUAAGAGUGAAAAAAAAAAAUAUCUGUCCUGAAGUCCACAAGCUGUUUACCUUGUAAGAGCUGUGACUCCAUUGCUAUUAAAUGGUACUUACUCUGCACUUUCCUGAAAUUGUAAUUUUUUUCAUGUUACUGAAGCCUGCAAGCUCUCACUACACACUCCCUUCCCUCAGAUGUAUCUUCAUCAUCAGUAAUUUUUCUCCCUUAAGUGGGUUUAUAUAUCAGCUUCAUUUCGUAUCUAAGUACCUCUUGGGUCAAGAAGACAUCAUGUGAUUGCCAUUACCAGGCAAAGUUGCCAUCCUGAGUCGCUUGGCGCUGCAGGUUGUAAACAUCACCCUGCGUCACCUCUUAAGUCUUGAAAGUUGACUCCCUUUUUAGAAUCAUAGAAUAUCUAGGGUUGGAAGGGAUCGAUAAGGAUCUAGUCCAACUGCCUGCUCCUCUCAGGACUAUCCAAAACUACAGCCUUUGUGGGACUUAUUUACAUAAGUGUAUUUGGACAAAGGAGCAAGCAUAACGAUGUUUUUCUUGAUGCUUCUUGGACAUUUGUGUAAUAAAUAAGAAAUGGUAAAAUAA